rnacentral:misc_RNA from 1 species
GAUGAAGAACGUAGCGAAACGCGAUAAGUAAUGUGAAUUGCAGAAUCCAGUGAAUCAUCGAAUCUUUGAACGCACAUUGCGCCCGCCAGCAUUCUGGCGGGCAUGCCUGUUCGAGCGUCAUUUCAACCCUCGACCUCCCCUUGGGGAGGUCGGCGUUGGGGACCGGCAGCACACCGCCGGCCCUGAAAUGGAGUGGCGGCCCGUCCGCGGCGACCUCUGCGCAGUAAUACAGCUCGCACCGGGACCCCGACGCGGCCACGCCGUAAAACACCCAACUCCUGAACGUUGACCUCGAAUCAGGUAGGACUACCCGCUGAACUUAAGCAUAUCAAUAAGCGGAGGA